rnacentral:rRNA from 1 species
AACGAACGCUGGCGGCAUGCCUAACACAUGCAAGUCGAACGAGACCUUCGGGUCUAGUGGCGCACGGGUGCGUAACGCGUGGGAACCUGCCCUUAGGUUCGGAAUAACUCCCCGAAAGGGGUGCUAAUACCGGAUAAUGUCUUCGGACCAAAGAUUUAUCGCCUUUGGAUGGGCCCGCGUUGUAUUAGCUAGUUGGUAGGGUAAAAGCCUACCAAGGCGACGAUCCAUAGCUGGUCUGAGAGGAUGAUCAGCCACACUGGGACUGAGACACGGCCCAGACUCCUACGGGAGGCAGCAGUGGGGAAUAUUGGACAGUGGGCGAAAGCCUGAUCCAGCAAUGCCGCGUGAGUGAUGAAGGCCUUAGGGUUGUAAAGCUCUUUUACCCGGGAUGAUAAUGACAGUACCGGGAGAAUAAGCUCCGGCUAACUCCGUG